AGCGAACGCUGGCGGCAGGCCUAACACAUGCAAGUCGAGCGCCCAGCAAUGGGAGCGGCAGACGGGUGAGUAACGCGUGGGGAUCUGCCCGAUGGUACGGAAUAAUUUCGGGAAACUGGGACUAAUACCGUAUGUGCCCGCAAGGGGAAAGAUUUAUCGCCAUCGGAUGAACCCGCGUCGGAUUAGCUAGUUGGUGUGGUAAAGGCGCACCAAGGCGACGAUCCGUAGCUGGUCUGAGAGGAUGAUCAGCCACACUGGGACUGAGACACGGCCCAGACUCCUACGGGAGGCAGCAGUGGGGAAUAUUGGACAAUGGGCGCAAGCCUGAUCCAGCCAUGCCGCGUGUGUGAUGAAGGCCUUAGGGUUGUAAAGUACUUUCGCCGGUGAAGAUAAUGACGGUAACCGGGGAAGAAGCCCCGGCUAACUUCGUGCCAGCCGCCGCCGUAA
rnacentral:rRNA from 1 species